CCUAGAUCCAUUUCUUUUUCAGUUGGUGGACCCAGUAGACCGUCAAUUUGUCUGCUAUGCUUUCCCCAGCAGAGUAUCAGCUUCACUUCACCAAUGUGGGAUGCUUCUCCAACGUCCUCAUUAUUACUUCCUCUCCUUGGCAUUUACAGUUCCCAGAUGGGAAUGAGGGUUUUGGCUACCAAGUGUAUCUAUUCUCUGACUUCAGUGUCUAGAAGAACAUUAAAAAGAAAAGGAAUAGAGAAAGAAAGAAGCAAGCAAGCAAACAAACAAAGAGAAGUAGUCCUUUUGAGACAGAAGCAUUUAGUCCUCUGAGAGUCUCCAUCCAGAAGCUGACUGAGAGAGAUGCAGAUACCCACAGCCAAACAGUGGACAGAGCUUGGGGACUCUUAUGGAAGAAUAGGAGGAAGAAUUGCUGGCCCUGAAGGAGAUAACUCCAUAGGAAGACCAACAGAGUCAGCUAACCUGGACCCUUCGGGCUUACAGAGACUGCCAUCAACAAAAGAACAUAGAUGGGCUGGACCUAGGCCUCUAUGCUCAUAUAUAGCAGAUGUUUAGCUUGGUCUUCAUGUGAGUCCUAAACAACUGAAACAGGGGCUAUUCCUAAAGCUGUUGCCUGUCUGUGGGAUAUGUUCGGCUAGGUGGGCUGCCUUGUCAGGCCUCAGUGGGAGACGAAGCUCCUAACCUCAGGGAGACUUGAAGUACCUAGGUGAGGGGAAUAUACUCAGGAGGGGACCCUGCCCACUCAAAGGAGAAAGGAAGUGUGAUGUGGGAGGGGUUGUGGGAGGGGAUUCCUGGGAUACAAGUCAGGGAGUGGGAUGUAGAGUGAAUAAGUAAAAAAAUUAAAUUAAAUUAAAUUAAAAUACGAAUUUUACUUUUAAAAAGAAUUUUCUCCUCAUUGGUAAGUUUUGCUUCUUUAUACACAUGAAUUCUUUACAGAGCUGUUUCAAAUGUUUUGUAGCAUUGCUUAUAUGUUUCAGUUAUGAGCCAUAAAGAAUGACUGUAAUAAAAUGACUGUGUAAAAAUAGAUUAGCACUAGUUAAGGAUUCAUUGUCAAACUUUCUAAACUUUCAUUAAAUGUGCAUAUGCACAUAAAAAAUCUAUUGGUGUUCUCAGGUGUGCUAAAAUGAACAGUGCACUUAGACACCUUCUUGCUACUGUAGUUUUUUGAAAAACAAAUGUUCUGUUUCUCCAAUCUCCCAAAACAAAAACAAAAAUAACCCUUGUCCAGCCUUUCCAGAAACAAGUUGAGCCUCUUGGACCCUGAGCCAGCUACAUCUGAGAGCGUAAGGCAGCAGAUCUUCAAGCAGGACUUUGAGUAAAAUAUUUUCAGAUGUCCACAGUUCCUGGAAUAGGAAUAUAUUCCAAUUUUUCACACUGAUUUGAAGGUUUUGUUUGGUAUUAAAGAUCAUAAAACAAAGAGAAUUUGUGACUUGGAGUCCUCAAAUAGCUCAGGUGAUAUAUUUGCAUGAUUUGAAUGCAUUCUUAGCAGACAUCUACAUCCCAGCAGUUAUGUAUCUUAGAUUGUACUCUGUCAUCUUAAGGAUAUUACAUUUUAUACAAAACAUACUCUGUAGCUUCUGACUUCUUAAACUUCUUUUGCUUAUCCUGUAUUUGAGUUUUGCCAGUUGAAGCAGGUCACUAUAGAGCCCUAUCUAGCCUGGAACUUCCUGUACAUCAGCCUGUCCUUGGACUUACAACAGUCUAACUGCCUCUACUUCCUGCGGUCUAGAAUUACAAAUCAACACCACCAGCAGGCUUUAAAGCUGAUACAUUUUAAAAGGAAAAUUA
rnacentral:lncRNA from 1 species